GUGAGGAAUAUUGGUCAAUGGGCGAGAGCCUGAACCAGCCAAGCCGCGUGAAGGAAGAAGGAUCUAUGGUUCGUAAACUUCUUUUGCAGGGGAAUAAAGUGCAGGACGUGUCCUGUUUUGUAUGUACCCUGAGAAUAAGGAUCGGCUAACUCCGUGCCAGCAGCCGCGGUAAUACGGAGGAUCCGAGCGUUAUCCGGAUUUAUUGGGUUUAAAGGGUGCGUAGGUGGUUUGGUAAGUCAGCGGUGAAAGUUUGCAGCUUAACUGUAAAAAUGCCGUUGAAACUGUCGGACUUGAGUGUAAAUGAGGUAGGCGGAAUGCGUGGUGUAGCGGUGAAAUGCAUAGAUAUCACGCAGAACUCCGAUUGCGAAGGCAGCUUACUAAGCUACAACUGACACUGAAGCACGAAAGCGUGGGGAUCAAACAGGAUUAGAAACCCUUGUAGUCC
rnacentral:rRNA from 1 species